rnacentral:lncRNA from 12 species
UAUGCUGAUAUGGAAGCAGCUCUAGACACAUUAAGAAGGAAAUUACAAAACAGUAAUUACAGGAAGAUUCCAUUUUCAUUAAAAACAAAAUCUCCCAAGCAAAACUUUGAGUUUCUCUGUGAACAUAGUAAGUGUAUAAAUCAAAGAAAAAAGUCUCGAAGGCCACUCAUGAAACACUAACAGUGGGCACCUCUGGGGAGAGAGUGGUAUUGCGUGGGGGUAGUCAUAGUCAUAGAAAUGUCCUUUCUGUUGUUUCCAUUUUUUAUACAGGGAUAAUAAUUGUGUGUCACUUGUGUAAUUUAAUUUAUAGGGGCUCCCGGGUAGCUCAGUUGGUUAGGCUUCUGACUCUUGAUUUUGGCUCAGGUCAUGAUCUCACGGGGGUGGGGGGUGGGGGGAUGGAGCCCGUUGUUGGGCUCUGCUCCCAGCAUGGAGUCUGCUUAAGAUUCUCUCUCUCCUUUUCCCUCUGCCCUUCCCCGUCCUUCUCUAAAAAAAUAAAAAGUAAAAAAAUAAUAAGUUGUAGUGAAAAAAUAAUAAAACAACUCUGACAGAACCUGGAAUAUUCCCUUUUAAUCUGUCCCCCACCCCCACCCCGAGAUGUCUGUCAGUAUUCUGAGGGAAACUGAAGAUAGCAGGGCUGUGCCCGUGAUACUCUGCUGUGCCCAGGACGCCCCGCUGCGCCCAGGACGCUGUGCCGGUGACGCCCCGCUGCGCCCAGGACGCUCUGCUGCGCCCAGGACGCUUUGCUGCACCCAGGAUGCUGUGCCCAGGACGCCUCGCUGUGCCCAGGACGCUCUGCUGCGCCCAGGAUGCUGUGCCCAUGACACCGCGCUCAGGACGCCCUGCUGCGCCCAUGAUGCUGUGCCCAUGAUGCUGUGCCCGUGACGCCCUGCUGUGCCCAGGAUGCUGUACCCUGGGCGCUCAGCUGCGCCCAGGACGCCGUGUCCAGGACGCUCCGCUGCACCCAGGAUGCUGUGCCCAGGACACCCGGCUGCGCCCAGGAUGCUGUGCCCAUGACACCGUGCCCAGGAAGCCCCGCUGCGCCCAGGACGCUGUGCGAUGCUCUGCUCCACCCAUGACGCUCUGCUGCGCCCAGGACGCUGUCCCCAUGAUCUCUGCAGUGACCAUGAUGCUGUGCCCGUGAUGCCACAC